AUUAAAAAAACGUCCGUAGUCAAACUUUAAUCUUACCGGCGUAGUGGCCUGGUCUUCAUUGACCAAGCUCAUUGCUGCCGGAGACUCCACGUCCAUUGACUCCUAGUCCUCGUGGCUAGGGUUUUCUGGACAAUUACCAUGAGCAAAUCAGAGUGUUUAAAGCAGGCUUUUAAGCUUGAAUGUGUUAGCAUGGAAUAAUGAAAUAUGACUUUAGUCCUAUUUUCGUUGGUUUAGGUACUUCAGUAAUGAUGAAUAGAAACGGUUAGGGGCAUUUGUAUUUGGUCGCUAGAGGUGAAAUUCUUGGAUUGACCGAAGACAAACUACUGCGAAAGCAUUUGACCCGGGACGUUUUCAUUGAUCAAGGUCUAAAGUUAAGGGAUCGAAGACGAUUAGAUACCGUCGUAGUCUUAACCACAAACUAUGCCGACUAGAGAUUGGGCGUGUUUAUUAUGACUCGCUCAGCAUCUUAGCGAAAGUAAAGUUUUUGGGUUCUGGGGGGAGUAUGGGACGCAAGGCUGAAACUUAAAGGAAUUGACGGAAGGGCACCACCAGGAGUGGAGCCUGCGGCUUAAUUUGACUCAACACGGGGAAACUCACCAGGUCCAGACAUAGUAAGGAUUGACAGAUUGAAAGCUCUUUCUAGAUUCUAUGGGUGGUGGUGCAUGGCCGUUCUUAGUUCGUGGAGUGAUUUGUCUGGUUAAUUCCGAUAACGAACGAGACCUUAUUCUGCUAAUUAGACAGGCUAACUCUUUCGGGUUGGUUUAUAUUUAAUAUUUAACUGGCUUCUUAGAGAGACUAUCGGCUUCAAGCCGAAGAAGUUUUAGGCAUAACAGGCAUGUAGUGCCCUCAGGA
rnacentral:rRNA from 1 species